rnacentral:rRNA from 1 species
UACGGAGGAUCCGAGCGUUAUCCGGAAUUACUGGGCGUAAAGAGUUGCGUAGGUGGCAGGGUAAGCAGAUAGUGAAAUCGUGUGGCUCAACCAUACAUCCAUUGUCUGAACUGCUCAGCUAGAAGGCGAGAGAGGUAGAUGGAAUUCCCAUGUGUAGGAGUGAAAUCCGUAGAUAUUGGGAGGAACACCGAUGGCGUAGGCAGUCUACUGGCUCGUCCUUGACACUAAGGCACGAAAGCGUGGGGAGCAAACGGG